CUUGCCCCAGAGGCAGUGUAGGUGUGGCUGCUGUACCACAUGUGUGUCAGUAGGAGGCAGGAAAGAAGGAGACUAUGUCUCUGCUCAUCUGACCUGUGAACAUCUGAAUGAUUAGUAAGCUAGCAUU